CAAAGAGCUGUAUCUGGAGGAAGUGAAAACCAGAAGAUGCCUUGCCAAGAAACUGGAAAGGCUGGAAAAGCUUCUGAGGAUAGAGAGGAGGAAACUCCGGGUUAAUGAAGAGAAAGGAAGUCAGUCCAGCUGGAAGAAAUGAAGAAGAGAUAUUCUGAAAAGGUCAAGGAAGUUGAUAGAUUCCAAAGAGAGGUUGCUGAACUUUCCCAGCAGUUGGACAGGGAACGUGAACAGUGCACGCAGCUGGG